GAGUGGCGAACGGGUGAGUAACACGUGGGUAACCUGCCCAUCAGAAGGGGAUAACACUUGGAAACAGGUGCUAAUACCGUAUAACACUAUUUUCCGCAUGGAAGAAAGUUGAAAGGCGCUUUUGCGUCACUGAUGGAUGGACCCGCGGUGCAUUAGCUAGUUGGUGAGGUAACGGCUCACCAAGGCCACGAUGCAUAGCCGACCUGAGAGGGUGAUCGGCCACACUGGGACUGAGACACGGCCCAGACUCCUACGGGAGGCAGCAGUAGGGAAUCUUCGGCAAUGGACGAAAGUCUGACCGAGCAACGCCGCGUGAGUGAAGAAGGUUUUCGGAUCGUAAAACUCUGUUGUUAGAGAAGAACAAGGAUGAGAGUAGAACGUUCAUCCCUUGACGGUAUCUAACCAGAAAGCCACGGCUAACUACGUGCCAGCAGCCGCGGUAAUACGUAGGUGGCAAGCGUUGUCCGGAUUUAUUGGGCGUAAAGCGAGCGCAGGCGGUUUCUUAAGUCUGAUGUGAAAGCCCCCGGCUCAACCGGGGAGGGUCAUUGGAAACUGGGAGACUUGAGUGCAGAAGAGGAGAGUGGAAUUCCAUGUGUAGCGGUGAAAUGCGUAGAUAUAUGGAGGAACACCAGUGGCGAAGGCGGCUCUCUGGUCUGUAACUGACGCUGAGGCUCGAAAGCGUGGGGAGCGAACAGGAUUAGAUACCCUGGUAGUCCACGCCGUAAACGAUGAGUGCUAAGUGUUGGAGGGUUUCCGCCCUUCAGU
rnacentral:rRNA from 1 species